UACGGGGGGGGCAAGCGUUGUUCGGAAUUACUGGGCGUAAAGGGUUCGUAGGUGGCUCGCUAAGUCAGACGUGAAAUCCCUCAGCUUAACUGGGGAACUGCGUCUGAGACUAGCGAGCUCGAGUGCAGGAGAGGAACGCGGAAUUCCAGGUGUAGCGGUGAAAUGCGUAGAUAUCUGGAGGAACACCGGUGGCGAAGGCGGCGUUCUGGACUGCAACUGACACUGAGGAACGAAAGCCAGGGGAGCAAACGGG
rnacentral:rRNA from 1 species